UGUCACAAUUUAUAUAAUGUGCUAAAGGAUAGGGAUCAAACACCCAAAUCUCUCUACACCCUCAUUCUUGUGUGGUAACAGGGAUCAGAAACGAAUUCUGGUUAAUAAGCUUUACCAUAUGAGCAGAUUGUGGCUACAAUCUAAUAGUCAAGGGACCAAAAUGAAAUUAACUCUUUAGGCAAAUCACUUGCCAACAGAAAUUAGGCUCAGAUUUGGUAAUGGAGAAGCCAUACCGCCAUGGCUGCAGACCUGGAGGUCGCCCCGCCAAGAUACGGGUCGGGUCCCUCCCUACCCGAUGAACUGUAGAAAAAUCAUCAUCAUCACGGCCUACAUAACCAAUAAUAAUAAUAAUAACAGAAACAACAACACCACAAACAUGAACAGGAAACUGAAGAUCUGAAGGUUCAAGCGCGUAUAGCUUCACUGCAAAACCGAGGUUUAAGCAGAACAAGAAUGGCUACCC